UGCCAGCCGCCGCGGUAAGACAGAGGGUGCAAACGUUGCUCGGAAUUACUGGGCGUAAAGCGCACGUAGGCGGAUCGUUAAGUCAGGGGUGAAAUCCCGAGGCUCAACCUCGGAACUCCAUUUGAAACUGGAAGUCUGGAGUUCAGGAGAGGUUAGCGGAAUACCGAGUGUAGAGGUGAAAUUCGUAGAUAUUCGGUGGAACACCAGUGGCGAAGGCGGCUAACUGGACUGAUACUGACGCUGAGGUGCGAAAGUGUGGGGAGCAAACAGGAUUAGAUA
rnacentral:rRNA from 1 species